rfam:Schistosoma haematobium scaffold908_7, whole genome shotgun sequence.
AUCUAGCUGACGAGUCCCAACUAAAACGAAACGCGAGUUCUGGAU